rfam:Chthoniobacter flavus Ellin428 ctg63, whole genome shotgun sequence.
GAAAGCCGGAUGCGGUAAAACCGCCCGUCCGGUUUGAUGAGGGGCGGGAAGCAGGCGGUCAUUGGCUACCAUGC